AUGAAGUUUUUACUUUUAAGAAAGGAAGUGGCAAUGGUCAUGAAUUUUGAUGCAUACAGGUGAUGACUGAUUUGGGUGAAUAUGAAUUGCAACAUACUAAUUGCAAUGGGGAUGGUGGUGGUGAUGACAGCAAUAGAGUAAUGUGAUAUGGAUUUCCCCACCCCACCAACCCACACCAACCACCAAAAUUUCUUCCUUCUCUUUUUUUCUUGUAAGAUUUUUAAAUUGGUUUUUAAUUGUAGUGGCUGUUGGUUGGGUGACAAUUUCCUGUUUCAUGACCAAAUGGCAUUUUUUUUUUGCGGUGAAUUGACUUACUGCACAUUACCUUACUAUAUGCCAUUGCAUUGUGCACAAAUUACUGCAAAAUGUCUUAAUUUAUGUAUUCCUGGUCUCAUUUUAAAAAUUUCUUCAUUAGUUGCCCCCUGCCCUCCACAUGUUCAUAAGUUUUCCCUGUGGGAUUUGGUGUGGCAAUAACAAAGCAGCUUUUUCAUAUCAUAAGUGUUUGUUUAAAACUAAUUUGGUUCUAUUUAUUAUUAUUAUUAUUAUUA
rnacentral:misc_RNA from 1 species